UGGGGAAUAUUGGACAAUGGGCGCAAGCCUGAUCCAGCAAUGCCGCGUGUGUGAAGAAGGCCUUCGGGUUGUAAAGCACUUUUAUCAGGAGCGAAACGCUGUCGGCUAAUACCCGGCGGAACUGACGGUACCUGAGGAAUAAGCACCGGCUAACUUCGUGCCAGCAGCCGCGGUAAUACGAAGGGUGCAAGCGUUAAUCGGAAUUACUGGGCGUAAAGCGUGCGUAGGCGGUUUCUUAAGUCUGCUGUGAAAUCCCCGGGCUCAACCUGGGAAUGGCAGUGGAUGCUGGGAGGCUAGAGUGUGUCAGAGGGUGGUGGAAUUCCCGGUGUAGCGGUGAAAUGCGUAGAGAUCGGGAGGAACAUCAGUGGCGAAGGCGGCCACCUGGGACAACACUGACGCUGAGGCACGAAAGCGUGGGGAGCAAACAGGAUUAGAUACCCUGGUAGUCCACGCCCUAAACGAUGCGAACUGGAUGUUGGUCUCAACUCGGAGAUCAGUGUCGAAGCUAACGCGUUAAGUUCGCCGCCUGGGGAGUACGGUCGCAAGACUGAAACUUAAAUGAAUUGACGGGGUCAUAGCUGUUUCCUG
rnacentral:rRNA from 1 species